AAUAGAUACCCAGGUAGUCCACGCCGUAAACGAUGGAUGCUAGCUGUACGGAGUAUCGACCCUCUGUGUAGCGAAGCUAACGCGUUAAGCAUCCCGCCUGUGGAGUACGAGCGCAAGCUUAAAACAUAAAGGGAAUUGACGGGGACCCGCACAAGCGGUGGAGCGUGUUGUUUAAUUCGAUGCAAAGCGAAGAACCUUACCCAGGUUUGACAUCCUACUAAUUCUUCCGAAAGGAAGAAGUGUCUUCGGACCGUAGUGACAGGUGAUGCAUGGCCGUCGUCAGCUCGUGUCGUGAGAUGUUUGGUUAAGUCCAUCAACGGAGCGCAACCCUUAUAGUUAGUUGGAUUUUUCUAGCUAGACUGCCCUGGUAACAGGGAGAAGGAGGGGAUGACGUCAGGUCAGUAUUUCCCGUUACAUCUGGGGCUACAAACACGCUACAAUGGCCGGUACAAAGGGCAGCUAAGUCGUAAGAUGGAGCAAAUCCCGCAAAACCGGUCUCAGUUCGGAUUGAGGGCUGAAACUGCCCUCAUGAAG
rnacentral:rRNA from 1 species